UUGAAUCCAACAUAUAUUCUAUACUAAUACAUUUAUUAAAGUACUAAUUAAAUGCUAAAUGUUAAUUUGUUAACUUGAGACCAUGGGCGGAGACAUUAUGUAACCUUUUGACCAUUGGCUACUGUGUUAUCAUGUCUUGCAGCUAAACCUAUCCGGGGGUGUGGGACUGCCUACCCCGUCACUUUCCCCGCCCAUAGAAAAUCCAUAUAUUCCAUUGUAAUCAAUUGAUAGUGUCUCUGAGCCUAAUAAGCGAGGUGACACUCCGUCAGCGCUGUACGUAAUAAACUCCUAUGCUUGACCUCUACAUGGUGUGGAUUUAUGUCCUUCAGUCUGGGGGCUCGUCCGGGAUACAGGCUUGUGAGCUGAUUGAGGAUCUCAGACUAAAAUCCAAAAAGGAGGUAAACAAGAGGAAGUGGAGGAGGAAGGACUGAAGGGUGACCAGGACAACCAGAGCGACCAUGAGGAAGCUCCUGCUGUAGCUCCUGCUCUCCCUGUGAUGCAUGAGGAAGGACGCAAGUAGUGUGCCAUGUACAGGGUGACACCCUUAGAUGAUGCUGUGGCCCUCUUUGAGGGUCUGUACUUAAUGCAACCAGUGUCCAGAUUAUCUUUAAAGGGGGACAGCUUGAAGGAUCUGUCAACCUCUGUAUCCACCUCAUUAGAUAUAACAAAAUACCUGGGUCAAGAAGUCACCAGCCUGCUAAUAAAUGGUACUAAAAUAAAGGCACAGGAGGAGAGUUGUUGGAGAGCAGGACAAACUUUGGCCAUCACCACACAGGGAAUUGUAACCGAUCUCCUUGAUGGCCGGGUCCACCCAGCCCUUAUGGAAGUAGUGGAACCCUAUCUCCCCAAUACCCCUCCAUGGGCAU